UUCAGGGGAAACCACGAUCCUGACCAACUUUGAGUAACCUCUCCAAAUCUGUCACAUAUGGUCUUCGUAAAUAUUCAUCAUGAAACAAGGUAAUUAUCCCUUCACAAAUUUUUUAAGUACACUCUAGCGCAGUGCUUUCUCUAAUCUUCACAUACUCGUCACAAGCAUUCAGCUAGGCAGCCAUAUGCGAGCAUGCCGAGGGCAGAUGUGCACUUCUGGACAGGGAAAAGAGCAGGCUUCCCGGAAUUAUUGCGCCUUUGAGUGAAAUAGAUGUCGUAAUUUGAUGAAGAUUCUGUAAUUCGUAGAAACAAUGGCCCUUUUUAUUCGAUAUCUUCUUCGAACUACAUGUCGGGUGUAAGUGCAUGACUCGUCAAAGUAGUUGGCCAUGAGCCUUUGAUGGGCAGCUACUUGAUUCCUAUAGAUAUAAUUUGUGGAAUGGGAUCUUCGUUUCUUCUUUGCAGUUCCUCAAGAAGUUCUUAUUGCCUUUGGAUCAGAGAUUCUUCCAACUUCCACUGUUGUUUGAAAGUUAAAAAAUUUGGUGAUACAUCCAUUGAAUGCUACGAAGAAGAAAGUAUGAAUGUUUGGAGUGAGUUAUGUUGAUAUGAUG
rnacentral:lncRNA from 1 species